rnacentral:lncRNA from 1 species
CUCUAUUUUCUUAAACAUAUUACUGAUCCUUAUGUUGUCACACCAAACAAAUAAAGACAAUAAUAAUGUUUAAUGAAUUUUAGUUUGAAUAUAAAGCGAAGUGAUAAGAAACCAUAGAAUACGAGGUGGAAAUCCCACCAAUGAGACAAUUUAGAUAAGAAAAGAAUCUUGAAAUCACAAUAUUACUGGUUCUCAUUUCUCCUACGUGGCUUUCCCAUCUAUAUUCCAAACUCUACUCUUCAUUCUUCCAUAGCAACGACCAAAUUCACUCCACACUCUUGAGAAUCACUGCUAUCUCAACAUAUUCAUCAAUGGCAGCAACAAUGGCAAUGAUGAUUAACUCAAAGUGCUUAAACACAAGCCUACCCAAGCUACAAAAUCCCACAACUAAGCUAACAACAACAUGCAAAAUCACUACCACUCAGAACCAACCAAAGGGUCUUAUCUCAAUUGAGAACACAAAAUUUGUGUCACCUUCACUUGCAAUUGCAGGAGCAAUAUUUUCAUCACNNNNNNNNNNNNNNNNNNUCGCUGCUCAACAAAUAGCAGAAAUAGCUGAAGGUGAUAACAGAGGAAUAGCACUUUUGUUGCCAUUGAUUCCAGCUAUAGCUUGGGUUUUGUUCAAUAUUUUGCAGCCAGCUUUGAACCAAAUCAACCGUAUGCGUAGCACAAGAGGAGUUAUUGUUGGGCUUGGUCUUGGGCUUGGUGGGCUUGCAGCUUCAGGUAUGGUGUCAGAAGCAUCGG